rnacentral:lncRNA from 1 species
GUCAUACGACCAGAGAUUACAAGGUACGGGAGUCGGUUACGCAAGGGGAAGGUAUUAGCACCCCUCACGUCCGUCGUACUCGACGAGAUCCACGCUCAAAAGAUAGCUCAAAGAAUAGGAAAAGGUUGCUAAUAAACUGCUCAACAAAACUGCACAAACUAGAGUAAUAAAACAGGUGAAAGAGAUAAAGGAUAUGAAGGAAGCGGAGGAAGUGGACUCGGCAGGAUGUUGCAUCCUGGUCCUACGUAGUUUGUCAGAAACAAACAUCAGAGUCAACGUAGUUCGGGAAAGGGACACAUGCUCUCUAAGACAUCGCGUCUUAUGCCUACGUAUCUUCUCUAUCCAGAGAAGAAUCAGAGCACUCGUAGCUCGGCUAACGCACGCCGAAACAAG